GACGAACGCUGGCGGCGUGCCUAAUACAUGCAAGUAGAACGCACAGUUUAUACCGUAGCUUGCUACACCAUAGACUGUGAGUUGCGAACGGGUGAGUAACGCGUAGGUAACCUGCCUGGUAGCGGGGGAUAACUAUUGGAAACGAUAGCUAAUACCGCUUAAUAUUAAUUAUUGCAUGAUAAUUAAUUGAAAGGUGCAAUUGCACCACUACCAGAUGGACCUGCGUUGUAUUAGCUAGUAGGUGAGGUAACGGCUCACCUAGGCGACGAUACAUAGCCGACCUGAGAGGGUGAUCGGCCACACUGGGACUGAGACACGGCCCAGACUCCUACGGGAGGCAGCAGUAGGGAAUCUUCGGCAAUGGACGAAAGUCUGACCGAGCAACGCCGCGUGAGUGAAGAAGGUUUUCGGAUCGUAAAGCUCUGUUGUAAGAGAAGAACGGGCGUGAGAGUGGAAAGUUCACACUGUGACGGUAUCUUACCAGAAAGGGACGGCUAACUACGUG
rnacentral:rRNA from 1 species